AGGACGAACGCUGGCGGCGUGCUUAACACAUGCAAGUCGAGCGGAAAGGCCCUUCGGGGUACUCGAGCGGCGAACGGGUGAGUAACACGUGAGCAACCUGCCCUUAGCUCUGGGAUAGCUCCGGGAAACCGGAAUUAAUACCGGAUACGACCUAGGCCGACAUCGGCCGUGGUGGAAAGUUUUUCGGCUAGGGAUGGACUCGCGGCCUAUCAGCUAGUUGGUGGGGUAAAGGCCUACCAAGGCGACGACGGGUAGCCGGCCUGAGAGGGCGACCGGCCACACUGGGACUGAGACACGGCCCAGACUCCUACGGGAGGCAGCAGUGGGGAAUCUUGCGCAAUGGGCGAAAGCCUGACGCAGCAACGCCGCGUGGGGGAUGAAUGUCUUCGGAUUGUAAACCCCUUUCAGCAGGGACGAAGUGAAAGUGACGGUACCUGCAGAAGAAGCGCCGGCUAACUACGCGCCAGCAGCCGC
rnacentral:rRNA from 1 species